rnacentral:rRNA from 1 species
AAUUGAGACAGGUGGUGCAUGGUUGUCGUCAGCUCGUGUCGUGAGAUGUUGGGUUAAGUCCGCAACGAGCGCAACCUUGUGUUUUAGUUGCAAACAGGUCAAGCUGUGCACUCUAGACAGACUGCCGUGGACAACACGGAGGAAGGUGGGGAUGACGUCAAAUCAUCAUGCCCCUUAUGAUCUGGGCUACACACGUGCUACAAUGGCCGGUACAACGGGCAGCGAAGGAGCGAUCCGGAGCGAAUCCUAAAAAGCCGGUCCCAGUUCGGAUUGCAGGCUGAAACUCGCCUACAUGAAGUUGGAGUUGCUAGUAAUCGCGAAUCAGAAUGUCGCGGUGAAUGCGUUCCCGGGUCUU